rnacentral:rRNA from 1 species
GUUUCCUACGGGACGCAGCAGUGAGGAAUAUUGGUCAAUGGGCGCGAGCCUGAACCAGCCAAGUAGCGUGAAGGAUGACUGCCCUACGGGUUGUAAACUUCUUUUAUAAAGGAAUAAAGUGAGGCGCGUGUGCCUUUUUGUAUGUAUUUUAUGAAUAAGGAUCGGCUAACUCCGUGCCAGCAGCCGCGGUAAUACGGAGGAUCCGAGCGUUAUCCGGAUUUAUUGGGUUUAAAGGGAGCGAAGAUGGGUUGUUAAGUCAGUUGUGAAAGUUUGCGGCUCAACCGUAAACUUGCAAUUGAUACUGG